UCCGGUUUAACACCGGCAGUCUCAUUAGAGUCCGCAGCUUUACCUGUUCGCAACUAAUGAUAGGGGUUUCGCUCGUUAAGGGACUUAACCCGACACUUCACAGCACGAGCUGACGACAGCCAUGCAGCACCUGUGUAUGUUCCACUACAAGAGUGUCAUCUGCCUUUCAGCAGACUAAUCCAUACAUGUCAAGCCUAGGAUAAGGUUCUUCGCGUUGCUUCGAAUUAAGCCACAUGCUCCACCGCUUGUGUGAGCCCCCGUCAAUUCCUUUGAGUUUUAGCCUUGCGACCGUACUCCCCAGGCGGUGCACUCAACGUUUUUACUUCGACCGAGAAGGUGUCAGAACCACCUCGAUCUAGUGCACAUCGUUUACGGCGUGGACUAC
rnacentral:misc_RNA from 1 species